AUUGAACGCUGGCGGCAGGCCUAACACAUGCAAGUCGAGCGAGCGGCGGACGGGUGAGUAAUGUAUGGGGACUGCCCGAUAGAAGGGGAUAACUACUGGAAAAGGUAGAUAAUACCGCAUUCUAUUGGCUAACACAUAUGGGAUUGUCUAGUAGGUGAGGUAAUGGCUAACCUAGGCGACGAUCCCUAGCUGGUCUGAGAGGCUGAUCAGCCACACUGGAACUGAGACACGGCCCAGACGCCUACGGAGGCAGCAGUGGGGAAUAUUGCACAAUGGGCGCAAGCCUGACGCAGCCAUGCCGCGUGUAUGAAGAAGGCCCUAGGGUUGUAAAGUACUUUCAGUCGGGAGGCGUUACCGACAGAAGAAGCACCGGCUAACUCCGUGCCAGCAGCCGCGGUAAUUC
rnacentral:rRNA from 1 species